rnacentral:tRNA from 1 species
GCCAGUGUGGCUUAGUGGUUUGAGCACUGGACUAUAACUCUGGAGACCAGGGUUCAAUUCCCCACUUGACU